rnacentral:rRNA from 1 species
UGACGGGCGGUGUGUACAAACCCCGAUAGGAGACAAGAAGGCAUCUUCUUGUUUUUAAAAGACCUAGCAAUAGGUAUGCUUAGGUAGGAGCUUGCGUCACAUUAGUUAGUUGGUGGGGUAAAGGCCUACCAAGACUAUGAUGUGUAGCCGGGCUGAGAGGUUGAACGGCCACAUUGGGACUGAGACACGGCCCAAACUCCUACGGGAGGCAGCAGUAGGGAAUUUUCGGCAAUGGAGGAAACUCUGACCGAGCAACGCCGCGUGAACGAUGAAGUAUUUCGGUACGUAAAGUUCUUUUAUUAGGGAAGAAUAAACGAUGGAAAAAUCAUUCUGACGGUACCUAAUGAAUAAGCCCCGGCUAACUAUGUGCCAGCAGCCGCGGUAAUACAUAGGGGGCAAGCGUUAUCCAGAAUUAUUGGGCGUAAAGGGUGCGUAGGCGGUUAAAUAAGUUUGUGGUCUAAGUGCAAUGCUCAACAUUGUGAUGCUAUAAAAACUGUUUAGCUAGAGUAAGAUAGAGGCAAGUGGAAUUCCAUGUGUAGUGGUAAAAUGCGUAAAUAUAUGGAGGAACACCAGUAGCGAAGGCGGCUUGCUGGGUCUUUACUGACGCUGAGGCACGAAAGCGUGGGGAGCAAACAGGAUUAGAUACCCUGGUAGUCCACGCCGUAAACGAUGAGUACUAAACGUUGGGUAAAACCAGUGUUGAAGUUAACACAUUAAGUACUCCGCCUGAGUAGUACGUACGCAAGUAUGAAACUUUAAGGAAUUGACGGGACUCCGCACAAGCGGUGGAUCAUGUUGUUUAAUUCGAAGGUACCUGAAAAACCUCACCAGGUCUUGACAUGCUUCUGCAAAGCUGUAGAAACACAGUGGAGGUUAUCAGUUGCACAGGUGGUGCAUGGUUGUCGUCAGCUCGUGUCGUGAGAUGUUGGGUUAAGUCCCGCAACGAGCGCAACCCUUAUUGUUAGUUACCAGCACGUAAUGGUGGGGACUUUAGCAAGACUGCCAGUGAUAAAUUGGAGGAAGGUGGGGACGACGUCAAAUCAUCAUGCCCCUUAUGACCUGGGCUACAAACGUGAUACAAUGGCUGUUACAAAGGGUAGCUGAAGCGCAAGUUUUUGGCGAAUCUCAAAAAAACAGUCUCAGUUCGGAUUGAAGUCUGCAACUCGACUUCAUGAAGUUGGAAUCGCUAGUAAUCGCGAAUCAGCAUGUCGCGGUGAAUACGUUCGCCAGUCUUAGCAGUCGU